AGAACGAACGCUGGCGGCAUGCCUAACACAUGCAAGUCGAACGAGACCUUCGGGUCUAGUGGCGCACGGGUGCGUAACGCGUGGGAAUCUGCCCUUGGGUUCGGAAUAACAGUUGGAAACGACUGCUAAUACCGGAUGAUGACGUAAGUCCAAAGAUUUAUCGCCCAGGGAUGAGCCCGCGUAGGAUUAGCUAGUUGGUGAGGUAAAGGCUCACCAAGGCGACGAUCCUUAGCUGGUCUGAGAGGAUGAUCAGCCACACUGGGACUGAGACACGGCCCAGGCUCCUACGGGAGGCAGCAGUGGGGAAUUUGGACAAUGGGCGAAAGCCUGAUCCAGCAAUGCCGCGUGCAGGAAGAAGGCCUUCGGUUGUAAACUGCUUUGUACGGAACGAAACGGUCUGCUUUAAUACAGCGGACUAAUGACGUACCGUAAGAAUAAGACACCGCUAACUACGUGCCAGCAGCCGC
rnacentral:rRNA from 1 species